AUUGUUUGUCAUCAUGGGCUGACAGGCUCAGAGAGCUCCAUGAGCCUUCGUGUGGAUCGGUUUCUUUAUUCAGUCGGCACAUUUCUGGUCCAUUGCUGCAACUCAGUCCAUCCAACCUGGCAAAACCAUUGAUGUCCACAUACAGUAACAUUUGCUGCGUCCUUACGUCAACAGCUACUGGAUGGGACAGGAGGAUGUAGCACCUUGGAAACAUCUUGACUAAUUAAAGACACUUUUAUGCCAAUGGACUUCUAUCUGCCCAUGGACCUGUAAUAGUGUACAGUGGACUGUGGAAGGAAAGACCCGUUGUGAUCAAGUGUGCUAUUGAGGAUCUAGUCAAGACUGACGGAGCUCCAGACUGUACUGCAAGAGGCGAUGAGCUUAUUUGACAAACCCACUCAUGGAACCUCUAUGGAUGAAUUUAAAGAGAUGCUGCACAGUUUCCUUAAGGCUAAGCUUGGUGAGCAGCCAUCUUUGAACACCUUGGUGGACAGGGUCAUCACUCUGGCUGAUGUCAAUCAGGAUGGCAAAGUGUCUCUAGCAGAGGCCAAGUCUAUCUGGGCUCUUCUCCAGAUCAAUGAAUUCCUUCUGAUGGUGACGCUGCAGGAGAAGGAGCACACGCCCAAGCUGCUCGGCCUCUGUGGAGACUUGUAUGUGACAGAACAUGUGGACCACAGCUCCCUCUACAGGAUAGAGGUGCCUCAUUACCUGCAGGCCCUGGUCCCAGAGGCCUUGAGCUCCAGCUUGAACCACUGGCUUGCAUCAGUCUGGCCCCGCAGAGCUUGCAUCACCAUCAGCCGGCUGGAGGUCUUCCACAGGUCCUACAGGAGUUUGUGUUGUGUGUUUGUGUUCCCUUUACAUAACAAAAACAAAAAACUACAACAAGAGUGCAGAGUUACGCUGAACAUAUACUUGGUCAAAGCAACAUUAAAUUUCAAGGCUGUGUGUAAUUUCCUUUUUUUAUUUAUUUAUUUGUUUCAUUAAAUGUCCUUUGCACUUAUGAGCAAACUGUUUCUUUGUGAAAGCCAGAUUCAAAAAGGCUUCAUUAUUGGCUCAUAGUCUAUCAUAAAAUGUAUGUAUAUGUAUAUGUAAGUUUAAGUAACACAGAGCUAAAAGAGGGAACAC